GCAAGUCGAACGCGAAAGUACCUUCGGGUGCGAGUAGAGUGGCGAAAGGGCGAGUAAUGCAUUCCUAACGUACCUCCAAGCCAGGGAUAGCAUCGAGAAAUCGGUGGUAAUACCUGAUGACCCCGUAGUGUCGUAUGGCACAGCGGGCAAAGGCUUGCUACUUGGAGAUCGGGGAAUGUCCUAUUAGCUUGUUGGUUGAGGUAACGGCUCACCAAGGCGAAGACGGGUAGCGGGUGUGAGAGCACGACC
rnacentral:rRNA from 1 species